AAACGAAUAAAACUCGUACGGUCUCCC
rnacentral:sRNA from 1 species